rnacentral:rRNA from 1 species
UACGUAGGCAGCAAGCGUUGUUCGGAGUUACUGGGCGUAAAGAGUGCGUAGGUGGUGCCCUAAGUCUGUUGUGAAAUCUCCCGGCUUAACUGGGAGGGUGCGGUGGAAACUGGGGUGCUUGAGUGUGGGAGAGGUAAGCGGAAUUCCUGGUGUAGCGGUGAAAUGCGUAGAUAUCAGGAGGAACACCGGUGGUGUAGACGGCUUACUGGACCACGACUGACACUGAUGAGCGAAAGCCAGGGGAGCAAACGGG